GGGGAUGUAGCUCAGUGGCACAGCACCUGCCUGGCAAGCAUGAGGUCCUGAGUUCGAUUCCCUGUACCA
rnacentral:tRNA from 1 species